GGAAUUGCUAGUAAUGGCAGGUCAGAAUACUGCCGUGAAUACGUUCCCGGGCCUUGUACACACCGCCCGUCACACCAUGAGAGUUGGGAAUGCCCGAAGCCCGUGAGCUAACCGAAAGGGAGCAGCGGUCGAAGGUAGAAUCAAUGAUUGGGGGUGAAGUCGUAACAAGGUAUC
rnacentral:rRNA from 1 species